UUGCGCAUGCGCGGGAGCGUUCCGGACCGCUGGUUCGGUCCGGAGCUCCCUGGUGUCCUGGUUUGGGGUGUGCGGCCGGAUCCGUUGCCGCGAUGAUCUGAAGCGGCUGGGCUCCUGUGUCCCUCUGCGGCCUCAGCUGCCGUGCUGCGGCUUCUAGGCACCCACUGCAAGUCUUGGUCGCAAGAUUCAAGUUUUCCCGCCUCUGCGGCGGUCACUAGGGGAGAGGCUCGGGGCUCUUGGCCUGGUUUCGUCCGAGAAGGCUUGAGCCCUCAUCUAGAUCACGACCCCUUUGGGAGUGACGACCCUUUCACAGGGUACCACCAGAAAACAGAUUUAGAUUCAUGAGAGUAGCAAGAUUAUUACGGAUUAACAACGAAGUAAUUUUAUGGUUUGGGUUCCCCGCGACACGAGGAACUGUAUUAAAGGGUCGCAGUGUCAGGAAGGUUGAGAAUCAUUGUGCUUGAUCUUUCCUGUCCCCAGGGUGCCCUAGGCACCGGAGGGGACCAGAGAGCUGAGGCCUGCGAGGAUCCCUGCAGGCCUGCGAGCCUCAGCAUCCGCCCUCGGGGCGAUGUCUUCUCUCCACGGAGCCAUUUCUUGGCGGUUUGCUGUUUGUACCAACGCCAGCCUCUGGGUUGUGUUCUGUUCCCUCAGCGACCGAGCUGUGUCCCGUGGAAACACAACACCAAAUCCUACUCUCUGAGCGCCCCGCACUGGGGCUCCUGCCUCUUUCUUGUUUUGUUUACCUGUUGGCCCUGCUGAGGCUAGGAGCUGGGAGCUGAGAAGUUCAUCAGGGCUUCACCCCUGUCCACACGCUCCCUCUUAGCGCUGAGCCUAACACCUGCGCCUUCCCUUGUCCCCUGUGAUGGGGCCCAGCCUUCUAUUCUCCUAGUGCGUGUAUGUCUUUGGGGACAGAGGCCAAGUGUGGCUUCUCCAUGCUACACUCUAUACUUCAAAGAUGAGAAGCCCUUUUCCCAUGAACGAAGCGGCCCACCAGAUGUUGGCAGGUGACUCUAACGUAUCCCUGGCCCUUUGGGGGUAGAAGCACUGGACAGAGAGGGACCUUCCCAGGCUGAAUCACGAGACUGCAUUCCCCACCAAUACCUGUGUGAUUGGAGCUCUGGUGGGAAUAAGAAACCUGGUUAUGAGGGGCGGCCACAGGCCUGGAAUCCUGCUACCUGCAUCAGCCCGGCAACUGCGGCUAUUUGGGUCUCAAGACGCCUUUAACUAACUAAACAUUGUGAGGAACCUCAAAGUUAGUGUCUGUCUAUGCGUAUUUAUUGUACCGGAAUUAAAAGUGAAACCGCUUUAAAACAAUAUACAAUAUAACAUUUCAAGCAAUCAAA